rnacentral:rRNA from 1 species
UACGUAGGGUGCAAGCGUUAAUCGGAAUUACUGGGCGUAAAGCGUGCGCAGGCGGUUUUGUAAGACAGAGGUGAAAUCCCCGGGCUCAACCUGGGAACUGCCUUUGUGACUGCAAGGCUUGAGUGCGGCAGAGGGGGAUGGAAUUCCGCGUGUAGCAGUGAAAUGCGUAGAGAUCCGGAGGAACACCAGUGGCGCAGGCGGCUCUCUGGGUCGGCCCUGACGCUGAGGCGCGAAAGCGUGGGGAGCGAACGGG